rnacentral:rRNA from 1 species
UACAGAGGUCCCAAGCGUUGUUCGGAUUCACUGGGCGUAAAGGGUGCGUAGGCGGUGAGGUAAGUCUGACGUGAAAUCUCCGGGCUCAACCCGGAAACUGCGUUGGAUACUAUCUCGCUCGAGGAAUGGAGGGGAGACUGGAAUACUUGGUGUAGCAGUGAAAUGCGUAGAUAUCAAGUGGAACACCAGUGGCGAAGGCGAGUCUCUGGACAUUUCCUGACGCUGAGGCACGAAAGCCAGGGGAGCAAACGGG